UUCGUUCGACUGGCAUAGCUUAGCUUAUCCUCAUGUUCUCCUUCUCGGCAUCCGUGGUCCUGGAGAGACCAGGCUCCUGAGCAUCUCCUGCCUCUCCUUCGGAAGCUUCUCUGUCGGCCUCUCCCAUGAAAUGUCCAUCACAGACCCUGCGUCCCGCUGAGCGGACUGCCAGCAGUUCCCUGCUGCUCUGCAUGAAGGUGCCCUGGAACCUAGCAACGGGGCUGGGAACGAGGAGGCGGCCAUGAGGCACUCAUCUGGGACACAACUUAUAAGGGAGCAUCAAAAAAAAUUCAUUGAUCAUGAUAAAGAAACUGAAGCUCAGGGAUUGACCCCUUUACGUCCCUGCAGAGUGAGCUGAUGACAGAGCUACCGUGCGUCUGUCCCCUGGCGUAUGUGUGUAUUGUGUGCAUAGUUCAAAUUAAGAAAUAGAUCUUCCUUUGCUGUUUACAAAAACAGGAGAAGAAAUUCACACAUCUCAGAAAGCCAGAGACCAGCCUAGCCCAGUGCAACGUGUGGAGGUAUCCUCCUGCAGAGUGCUGGGGACGCCAUCCAAAAAUAACUGAGUUGGGUGUCAGGGGCAUCUUCCCUGGCCUUUCAGGUAGGAUGGGCCCCUCGCCCCUUUGUCCUUCUGUUGUUUUUCUCAUACAG